rnacentral:lncRNA from 1 species
UUCGUAAACUGUAAAAUUAGAACAAAAAUUAUAUCAAUCAACUCUCCCGUAGUUUCACAAAAUGUUAAUAAAUUAGAAUUAAUGAAAUGUAAGAGUAACCUGAGUAUAGAAGAUUAUUUCAUAGCAGUCAAAAAUCCAUACUUUUAUAGAGGGACAUGAAAGAGUAAUAUGAACAGCCAGAGGACAAUUAACAUUCAUUACUGGAUCAGCAGGCGAAAUUGUCUUGGCCACUAAAGAGAAUAUUAUUAUAUAAAUUAAUUAUCAACUCCAAAAAAGAGAAAACUAAUAACUUAAAUUCAUCGUGUUCCUGUAGCUACUUCGAAUCAUAUGUCCAGUGAUGGUUUUUUCAAGUGUUUGACCUUCAGUUCCCAGCUCUCUUGAUAAUCACAGAAAUAGCACCCAAGCUCCAGGAUCUGAUUGCCUCAAUGUCUAAACUCUAUGAAAUUCAAAUUUCACAUAAAGCCUCAGUUGCUGCCCAUUGCCCGAUUAAAUACAUGAAAGAACAUCUAAGAAUCCAGGAAUCAAAAUAAUAUCAAUGAUUCAAUGUAGUUCCAACACAAAGCUAAAUGCCUAAAUCCAUGCAAUUCAAUACCAAAACUCAAAAGUCAAUGCUUUUCAGCCUUUUCUUUUUCUCUUCAAACAAAACAGAGGACGUAGCUGGUAAUUUUUUGAAUAAGUAACGUUAACUAGAACCAAAUUGUUUAAUCUCAAUUCUCAAUCUAAUGCAUAUCUCAGCCCUCAGGCACUGCGAUUUAAAUAAAAAGCAUGCCAAAAAAAUGUAGGAUGCUUCGGAAAAAUCCAUACCAAUCACCCAAUACAAUACAAGAUUAUUUUGAAGAAAAAUACCAUCGUCAACAGAGAGAAAAUUGGGAGGUGAACUAUUGAUGGUGAUGACGAUCACAUCAGCUCCGAAUCUCCGACCUCCACCGUCGUUCUUCUUUGUUCUUGAUUUUUACCCUUUUGAUUUCUCG